rnacentral:rRNA from 1 species
ACGGAGGGUGCAAGCGUUAUUCGGAAUUACUGGGCGUAAAGGGCGUGCAGGCGGGAGAGCAAGUCUGAUGUGAAAGCCCGGGGCUUAACCCCGGAAGGGCUUUGGAAACUGCUUAUCUUGAGUUCUGGAGAGGAAGAGAGAAUUUCUGGUGUAGAGGUAAAAUUCGUAGAGAUCAGGAGGAACAUCGGUGGCGAAGGCGCCCUACUGGAAAACAACUGACGCUGAGACGCGAAAGCGUGGGGAGCAAACAG